AUUUCUUCUGCGAGCAUCUGCCAAGGAUGUUUUCAUUAAUCAAGAACGAAAGUUAGGGGAUCGAAGACGAUCAGAUACCGUCGUAGUCUUAACCAUAAACGAUGCCGACCAGCGAUUAGGAGACGUUGAAUACAAAACACCACCAUCGGUGCGGUCGUCCUUGGCGUCUCGGUCCUUCACGGGGCCGGGGCGCGGGGGCGGCUUAGCCCGGUGGCACCGGUGAAUGACUCCCUAGAGCCUUGUGAGAA
rnacentral:rRNA from 1 species